rnacentral:rRNA from 1 species
UACACUCCUGCGGGAGGCAGCAGUGGGGAAUAUUGAACAAUGGGCGCAAGCCUGAUCCAGCCAUGCCGCGUGAGUGAUGAAGGCCCUAGGGUUGUAAAGCUCUUUCACCGGUGAAGAUAAUGACGGUAACCGGAGAAGAAGCCCCGGCUAACUUCGUGCCAGCAGCCGCGGUAAUACGAAGGGGGCUAGCGUUGUUCGGAUUUACUGGGCGUAAAGCGCACGUAGGCGGACUAUUAAGUCAGGGGUGAAAUCCCGGGGCUCAACCCCGGAACUGCCUUUGAUACUGGUAGUCUUGAGUUCGAGAGAGGUGAGUGGAAUUCCGAGUGUAGAGGUGAAAUUCGUAGAUAUUCGGAGGAACACCAGUGGCGAAGGCGGCUCACUGGCUCGAUACUGACGCUGAGGUGCGAAAGCGUGGGGAGCAAACAGGAUUAGAAACCCUAGUAGUCCCA